rnacentral:rRNA from 1 species
UAGGGAAUCUUCGGCAAUGGGGGGAACCCUGACCGAGCAACGCCGCGUGAGUGAAGAAGGUUUUCGGAUCGUAAAGCUCUGUUGUUAAGGAAGAACGAGUGUGAGAAUGGAAAGUUCAUGCUGUGACGGUACUUAACCAGAAAGGGACGGCUAACUACGUGCCAGCAGCCGCGGUAAUACGUAGGUCCCGAGCGUUGUCCGGAUUUAUUGGGCGUAAAGCGAGCGCAGGCGGUUAGAUAAGUCUGAAGUGAAAGGCAGUGGCUCAACCAUUGUAGGCUUUGAAAACUGUUUAACUUGAGUGCAGAAGGGGGGGGUGGAAUUCCAUGUGUGGCGGUGAAAGGCGUAGUUAUAUGGAGGAACACCGGUGGCGGAAGCGGCUCUCAGGACUAUAACUGACGCUGAGGCUCAAAAGCGUGGGGAGCGAACAGG